CGAUAGCGUGGCCGAGCGGUGUAAGGCGCUGGAUUAAGGCUCCAGUCUCUUCAGAGGCGUGGGUUCGAAUCCCAACACUGUCUGA
rnacentral:tRNA from 1 species